rnacentral:rRNA from 1 species
AUGCCCUCGAAAGCACCUUGGUCCAAUCCCAUCGCCCCGCACGCCACAACCCCUCCCUCCCUCUUCGAUAUCUCUCCCUCCUCAGCCGCCACAAACCCUAGCCCCAUUUCCUACAAUCCAGCGGUCGCUACCCCUCCUCCAUCCGACCUCCGCCGUCAGCCGCCGCCGCCGCUACGGCUUCUCUGUCCACCGACUGCGUGCGUGCAGGUGGCCAGUUUCCUUCCGCCCCGACCUUCUCCAUUGUCUCCCCAGUUCACCCCCAUCCCUUGCUGCCCGAGGUGCUCAUCUUCCCAGGUCGUGAGGAAGCCGCGUGAGGAUGUCUCCACGGUAAUCGGGGAACCACCAUGGCGUGCCGCCGGGGGAAGCCUUGGAUCCAUGCAGGGGGCCUCCCCGGGGGCGCAGAGGAGGGGGUGUGGAGGCGUGAGGCCAGAAGGAGUUUGGGAUCGCUGGAGGAGCACAGCCCGCACGGGGGCUGGUUAUCGCCAGAGCAGAGGGGAGGAGGUCGAUGCAGGGGAUGCCAUGUAUGGUCGGGGCGCUGGAUCCGCCUUUCCCCAUGCCACCGCUGUCCUACGUCAACGAUGCCGCCAUGGCCUUCUCUCCACUGACCUCUUUCCACGAAUUUUUGCCUUCAACGCUAAGGAGCAGGGACGGUCUGUAGGCUAG